AAGCAGAAGCCCCAGGAGAAAGUCCAGAGUCACCCGAGGGUGCGGCCCCAGGGAGCUUCACGCAGCCAGCUCUGCAGCCAGCACCUAAGGAGGAACCCUGACAGCCCUCUGAGAACAAGCCCGGGCCAGACUGCUGGGGGAUGUGUUGUCAUCGGGCAGCCAACCUCCAGCCUCCAGAACAGGCCCAUCGGAGAUCAGCACAGCCUGGAUCAGGCCAGCAGCACUGCCUGGGUGGCCCCGGCUCGUGAGCAAGUGUAGAUGCUUAUUGCUUUUGUCCACCGCGUCUCCAGGCUGCUGGGUUUGCAGCAGCAGCUGACCCAUCCACCACGGCCACCACGAGAGGUCACACAGGUACCACUUGAAGCUGCGACACUUCAGCCUCUGACGCAGGGCCAGCCUCUCAGACACGUCCCCGAAGUCCACCCCUGGGUUCUGCAAGGCCAGAAGUAGGUGAGAGGAGGGUCUGAGGCAGCUGCUCCUGAUGGGAAGGACCCUGCCAGAGGCCAGCCCCGGCCUGGACAGACGGCCCCUGCUGCAGCCGGCUCGUCCACACCCACCCGGGCCCAGGAACCUCCUGCCUGAGAAGACGGCCCUGCUCACCUGGCCUUACUGCACGGCAUCAGCCUGACCUCUGGAGGGUGGAGACUGAGGUCAGCCAUAUCCAGAGACCAGCCUGGUGAGGACCCUGGAUACUGAGGCUUGGGGGCUCCUGGCUGGCCCCGCCUGGCACGUGUUGUCACGCAUGGGUGCCGGAGAAUCAAGUCCUUGGGACCCCCCGCGGGGGGACACCUGAGAGCUUGUACCUGGCCUUUCCUGGUCCCUGCCCAGGCGUCUCUUCCCUCUGCUGACUUUGACCCGUGUCCUCUGCCGUGAGAACCCACAGCCGAGUGCGGUGUCUGUGUCUUCCUGGGACUGUGGGGCCUGAGAGGCUGUAGGGACCAGCACUCUCUGACGGACAGCCAGCCCUGAGGGAGCACCUGCACCCUGCCCAGGGACCCUCCAGGCUCAGGCCUUGUGGGGAGGGCAGACGACUUGGCCUUCACGGCCUGGGCUUGAAUCCCGUCACCUUCUGGUAUGUGGGCCUGGGACAGUCCCCUAUCUUCUCUGUGCCUCAGUUACUCAUUGGUAAAGUGGGGACGAUCACGCCAGAAACUCAUUGUUGCUCUGUUAUGAGGUUUUAAUCAGCCAAGGGGCUCACACCAGGGCCCUUGGACACGGAGGUGACAGGCAUUUGCCGGCCUCACUGCCCGGGGGCCUGGAGCACCUCACUCAGUUGCCCACACACUUGGGGAGGUCAUCACCCUGCACGUUUUCCUUAUCACUUCAUGGAAAACAAGGCUGUAGGAGCACCGGGUACCCUCUUCUCGUCUCUCAGACACGAGUGCACGUGUCUACGGCUCCUGAUCUGCCUGGCGGGAGCUGAUAUGGGGGCUGGAUGCUGGAUUUGCAGUGAAUGGUCCAGCCCGGGGCCACUUCAGGCCGUGUCACCCACACGCUGGGGUGCACUCUAGCAGGGGGUGGUAAGCCAAUUUAGGGGCUGUGGUGGGAAGUUUUAAGAAGUAGUAAUAUUGUAAAUGAGAAGGGUCACUUUGGUGCUACGUACACAAAGCGCUGUAUGUGGACAGAUGUAAAUGUAUGCGUGUGUGCGCUGGGUCAUGACUUAAGAUCUGGCUCAUUAGGGUUGAUGCAGACAAGCCCGUUUCUAAGAUGAGCCCUCCCAGAACUCAGGGACCCAGUGCCUGCAGUGGCCAGGGAAGGAAGGGGGUGGUUCCAGAGACGCUGGGGUGUGGCGGGAUGGGUCGCGGCCACCCGUCUCAGUACCUGCCUUUCUUAGGGUUGUGGGGGUGGGGCGCUUUGAGAAAAGCCAGAAUUCAGGCUCUUUAUGGGAAAUUACAAAUUAGAAAACAAACAGCAAUCCUCAACUUGAAGCGGGUCAGCCACUCAUAGGCCAAAGCCCAACAGGAAACAACCAAAAACGUCCAUCCACGGACGAGUGGAUCCACACGAGGGGCCCUUUCACACUGUGGACGUGACUCAGCCAUGGUGGGGGUGACCUGGAAAAGGUGGCGCUGAGGACGGGAAGCCACACAGCGUAUGAGCCGUUCAUGAAACCGCCAGACAGUUGAGGCUGCCCGGGGCUGGGGAGGGGUCCGCACUGGCUGACAGGUGCUGUGCAGGGCACUAAGUGGGGCCCUGGCUGAGGCGGCGGCACCAGGUUGGGGAGAGGCCGCCCCUCCCUGGCUUCUAACCACGGGGCAAUUGCUCUAGGCUGAGAGGAAAAACGCCCACCACACCGGGGUGGGUGUGAGCUGGUCUCUUCCCAGUGUGAGGAAGGCUCCUUCCCAGGCAGACAGCUCACCCACUCACACCUGCACACACAACUGCUUGCACCUGUGCACACCUGUCAACACACCCACUCACACCUGCAGGGGGCCCUAGGGGGCCUCCCUCCGGCCCAGCCCUGCCGUGGCAUUGACCCCGACCCUGGGGCAUGGCCCCGG
rnacentral:lncRNA from 1 species